GGGUAGAUGGCUGAGUGGUUGAAGGCAUCAGUUUUGAAAACUGACGAUAGUUUAGGCUAUUCGUGGGUUCGAAUCCUACUCUACCCG
rnacentral:tRNA from 1 species